rnacentral:rRNA from 1 species
AUUGAACGCUGGCGGCAUGCCUUACACAUGCCAGUCGAACGGCAGCAUGAUCUAGCUUGCUAGAUUGAUGGCGAGUGGCGAACGGGUGAGUAAUACAUCGGAACGUGCCCUGUAGUGGGGGAUAACUAGUCGAAAGAUUAGCUAAUACCGCAUACGACCUGAGGGUGAAAGUGGGGGACCGCAAGGCCUCAUGCUAUAGGAGCGGCCGAUGUCUGAUUAGCUAGUUGGUGAGGUAAAGGCUCACCAAGGCGACGAUCAGUAGCUGGUCUGAGAGGACGAUCAGCCACACUGGGACUGAGACACGGCCCAGACUCCUACGGGAGGCAGCAGUGGGGAAUUUUGGACAAUGGGCGAAAGCCUGAUCCAGCAAUGCCGCGUGUGUGAAGAAGGCCUUCGGGUUGUAAAGCACUUUUGUCCGGAAAGAAAUGGCUCUGGUUAAUACCUGGAGUCGAUGACGGUACCGGAAGAAUAAGGACCGGCUAACUACGUG